AUUGCGUAUUACGUUGCACGCUCGCUCUUUUUUGUUUUGUUAGUAACAAUUAUGACUUCAAAAAAAGCCAAAAUUUAUUGUGGUGUCUUCGGGUGUCUCAAUAACGACUCCAACAAACCGGACUUAUCAUUCUUCAAUAUACCUACUGAACAAGACACGCGCUUACAAUGGCUACGAUCAAUCGAUCGCGAAGAUUUGUCCGAUAAGCCAACACGUCGCAUACUCGUGUGUGAAGUAUUCAAAGCUGAAGAUAGAAUUUUUAAAAUUUGUCUUUUCUUUUUAAAACGUCUUU